rnacentral:lncRNA from 1 species
CAAGCAGGCUGAAAAGAUUGUUUUAGAUACAUUUGUACUGUAGUUCCAUUUGUAAUCUAAUAUGCACAGCACUUGCUUACCCACCAGCCCUCCUCCUUAGCCACAUCAAGUGCUUUUGCAAUAAGGUCUCUACGGGCUUGACUUAAAAGGUUGGAUGGCUCUGAUGUCUCUGGUUCAUUUGAAGAGCAUCACAAGCUAAAUCCUGAUAGUCCCUAAACCAAACAGCCCGCUGGUCUUUAGUUCCAAAUGAGAAAAGUGACCCUUAACUAAAUAGUCUUUUUUUUUUUUUUUAAGGGCUUACCUGUUGCUUUAGACAAACAUAUUCUUGGCUUUGACACAGGCGAUGCAGUUCUUAAUGAAGCUGCUCAGAUCCUGCGGUUGCUACACAUAGAAGAGCUCAGAGAGCUACAGACGAAAAUUAAUGAAGCCAUAGUAGCCGUUCAGGCCAUCAUUGCUGAUCCAAAGACAGACCACAGACUGGGGAAAGUUGGGAGAUGAGCACAUGAGGGUUUCAGCUUCUCACCUUAGUGAUGGGAACUGUCACACCAGCAUGUGCUUGGAAAUCAAAUGUCACACUUUGAAGGGAGGAGUCCCAGGAGAUUGACCAUGUCCUAGAGAUUUACCACCACUGCUUUUUUUCUUUAAUAAAGUUGGGGAAGU